UACGGAGGGUGCGAGCGUUGUCCGGAAUCACUGGGCGUAAAGGGCGCGUAGGCGGCCUGAUAAGUAGGGGGUGAAAUCCUGCGGCUUAACCGCAGGGCUGCCUUCUAAACUGUCAGGCUUGAGCACAGUAGAGGCAGGUGGAAUUCCCGGUGUAGCGGUGGAAUGCGUAGAUAUCAGGAGGAACACCAAUUGCGAAGGCAGCUCGCUGGGACGUAACUGACGCUGAGACGCGAAAGCGUGGGGAGCAAACAGG
rnacentral:rRNA from 1 species